UGGGGAAUCUUGCACAAUGGGCGAAAGCCUGAUGCAGCAACGCCGCGUGCGGGAAGACGGCCCUAGGGUUGUAAACCGCUUUCAGCAGGGAAGAAACUGACGGUACCUGCAGAAGAAGAUGCGGCCAACUACGUGCCAGCAGCCGCGGUGACACGUAGGCAUCGAGCGUUAUCCGGAUUUAUUGGGCGUAAAGAGCUCGUAGGCGGUUCGGUUAGUCGGGUGUGAAAACUCUGGGCUCAACCCAGAGACGCCACCCGAUACUGCUGUGACUAGAGUGCGGUAGGGGAGUGGGGAACUCCUGGUGUAGCGGUGAAAUGCGCAGAUAUCAGGAAGAACACCAGUGGCGAAGGCGCCACUCUGGGCCGUAACUGACGCUGAGGAGCGAAAGCGUGGGUAGCAAACAGGAUUAGAUACCCCCGUAGUCC
rnacentral:rRNA from 1 species